AAAUGCAAACAAAACACCUCAGGACAAUAUAACUUACAAAGAAAAUGUACCUUCGCUGGCAACAUCACUGCAAUCUGCAAACAAAUUCAUAAAGAUCAUUUCCACUGCAGAAGAGACAGCUCAGGGUUCUGGAUCACAUCUUCAGAAAUACCUCAGUGUCUUUCCACUGACACUCAAUUGGAAAAACGUCCCAAAUAUCAUGUCAAUUUUGAAAGUGGAAUUCAACCUCCUUGGUCAUGUAGGUGUUGUAAAAAAAAACUUACUUACCACCUCUUUGAGAAAAUGUCUUUUACCUGUUUGCAGCUAAUAAUUUUUUUUUUCCUGUCAUGUUUGUUUUAUACAACAAUUUGCUAUUCCUUCUUGAAAGGUGUGAGUGGAAAUUUGAAAACAAAUGCAGAGAAAUAAAGCGUAAAAAACAAAGAGCAGUGCUGGAUUCCACUCACUACUGCAGGCAAAGAGUAACUGCCCGCACAUUCAACAGAAACAUAGAUGCAGACACAGGGAUGCAUUCUGUGUACACAGACAAUCAGCUAAUAUACAAAACUGCAUAGAGACAGGAGGAUUUUCUAUAUACGCCUCCUGCUACCUUGUAUUUAGAAACCACCCACGCAGUUAUAACACUGCCUAUCCUUAUUUAACGUUCUGCAUGGCCUCUAACUAGCUUUUUCUUCAUCACUUUCAGAUACAUGCAAUGGGAGCAUGAGGCAACUUAUCUGUGAUCUUAUGGCAGACUGGUUUCUGUGAACACUCUGGCACGAUUCAUUCCCACCAAUGAAAAACUUUAAAGACCAAAUUACUCUGUUGAAAAUAAGUUUGCAAUCAAACAAUCCAGGUGGAUAGAGUAGCAAAACAGAUGAGUUCUGAAAAGGGAGAGUGCGGAUGCAGAGAAAAUUUGGUAAGACAUUUGUCUCAACAGAUCAUUGACUCAUGAGACAGGCAGCUAGAGAGGGGCCGAGCGGGGAAGAAAAUGUUUUCCUAAAUUAGCCCAGAAGCAUGCUAGCUAAAAAAUCAACAACAUGAUCAAAUGUCCUUUUCUGCCAAAUAAACAUUUGUCAGAAAAGACUUUAAACAAGGUCAAAUAAGCAGGGUGGGCUGUGUCAUGUCUGAUACUUGACCCAAGGUCAGACAAAUGGGGCUUGUGAAGGUGUAGGCGGCUGAGAAGUGCUCCACCUGCUCUUGGUACCACAUCAGGGCUUGGUAUAUCUGAACAAAACCCCAGUGAAGCAUCUGGUGAGAGGCUGUAUGACUGAAAACAGGAAUUGAUAAUGCUAGAGACUGAAUUCCAAGAUUUUUCUCUACAUAAAACUGUAAAAAAUAAUGUCAUGAUUUUUUAAUAUAUGUUUAUAUAGUUAGGUUUAAAAGGCAGGCACGUGCACACUAGAAAUACAUCAUCUUCAUUGAUCCUAAUGUUUUUCCUUCGUUUCCUUCCAUUCUUAUUUAAGGAUUCCAGUGGGCUCCCCACAAGGGGCACAAACAGUCCUUUUUAUCCGCAGGCUUCUAGCAAGGAUUGAGUUGUGUAAUGAUUAACUGAAUCGCCAUUUGUAUUAACUCUGGUAAAGGGACCAGACACAGAGGCAGCUGCCGAUCAGCAGUCCUGGUGCUGGGACACACAAAGAGCUGGAGUGCUGUUCCACCAACACCUUCAGCUUCCUAAAAAGACUGUAAAAUGCCUGGAGCACUCCUUUCCGGCAAAGGGUGCAAGGGAUCUGCUUUCCAAUGCACCUCAUCAGAUAUGGACUGGAGCGUUAAAACUUCAUGACAGAAGAAAGGCUACAGCAGCCAACUACAGCCAGAGAAUCCACACCUGAGCAACGGGUUCCAAUCCAGGAAUGGGAAUUUAGACAUUGCUUUGGGAUUCCCAGUGGCUGAAGUGCUAAUCUCUUUGUCAGAAUGAUCCCGAGAGAUGCCAAUCACACACGUUACAAGGCCUAUCACGGACAGCAGCAGAGCUGCAUUCCCAGAAAUCCCUCGGCUUCUCUCUCCUUGUACCCUAGAAGGGCAGCUUGUCCCAUCAGCAUCUACCAGCAUUGUGAUUGAUUAUGGACAAAUGCUGCAUGGCCUGGCCCUAUAUAAAAGGAAGAAAAAAAUCUGAAAAAACAAACAAAACCCAAAACAAAACCAAAAAGCAGUAUAAUGAUGGUAAGCAAUCUAAAAAGACAGUGACUUUUAAGGCUCUCUUUUUAAAGCCUACAUACUGCUAAGUAAAGCUAUCUACAAAGUGUUUGCAGUGCUGAUAAAAUUUGGAGUAUACAAUGAGAUAAUUCACUUUAAUAAAUCAUACUUCUCUAUGCAGCUUUUGAACUUGGCAAAGACGAUUUCCCACGCAUUUCUGGAAGACUAC